AAGACUAUACUUUCAGGGAUCAUUUCUAUAGUAUCUAACUUAAGAGAUGUGUUUCUAAAGUGAUGGUCUCGCUAACCACGAUGAUGACGUAUUGAUACUCUCUUCUGGGCGCGAAGCGGGUUCAGAGAAUUGAUUUACUUCAAAUGCUCUGUUCUAUUGAUGACCGUUCGUUGGCUCCUUAGGGCCAGUGAGGGAGAGAGUAUGAUCAGAGUGGUA
ensembl:snoRNA small nucleolar RNA U3